rnacentral:rRNA from 1 species
AACGAACGCUGGCGGCAUGCCUAACACAUGCAAGUCGAACGAGACCUUCGGGUCUAGUGGCGCACGGGUGCGUAACGCGUGGGAACCUGCCCUUAGGUUCGGAAUAACUCCCCGAAAGGGGUGCUAAUACCGGAUAAUGUCUUCGGACCAAAGAUUUAUCGCCUUUGGAUGGGCCCGCGUUGGAUUAGCUAGUUGGUAGGGUAAAAGCCUACCAAGGCGACGAUCCAUAGCUGGUCUGAGAGGAUGAUCAGCCACACUGGGACUGAGACACGGCCCAGACUCCUACGGGGGGCAGCAGUGGGGAAUAUUGGACAAUGGGCGAAAGCCUGAUCCAGCAAUGCCGCGUGAGUGAUGAAGGCCUUAGGGUUGUAAAGCUCUUUUACCCGGGAUGAUAAUGACAGUACCGGGAGAAUAAGCGCCGGCUAACUCCGUG